rnacentral:piRNA from 1 species
UGGUGACCCGUCUUUCCCACAUCUUUCUGUCU